GUCCGUCAUCUUGGAAAGGAAGAGAGGAGGACUGGAAAAUGAAAGUCAGCAGGGAGUUCAGAAUGACUUUGCUGGCCUCACCAUGCUGAAAUGAGUAGUUCAGAUAAAAACAUAUGAAGAGGGGUGCAAUGGCGCUGAAGGUUGGAUAGACAUUCGGUUGGUAGCUGAGCGAUCCCAGGAGCGAGGAAGCCGAGCCACUUUGUCUCAACCAUAGACUA